rnacentral:rRNA from 1 species
CCAGCAGCCGCGGUAAUACAGAGGGUGCAAGCGUUAAUCGGAAUUACUGGGCGUAAAGCGAGCGUAGGUGGCUUGAUAAGUCAGAUGUGAAAUCCCCGGGCUUAACCUGGGAACUGCAUCUGAUACUGUUAGGCUAGAAUAGGUGAGAGGAAGGUAGAAUUCCAGGUGUAGCGGUGAAAUGCGUAGAGAUCUGGAGGAAUACCGAUGGCGAAGGCAGCUUUCUGGCAUCAUAUUGACACUGAGGUUCGAAAGCGUGGGUAGCAAACAGGAUUAGAUACCCUGGUAGUCCACGCCGUAAACGAUGUCUACUAGUCGUUGGGUCCCUUGAGGACUUAGUGACGCAGCUAACGCAAUAAGUAGACCGCCUGGGGAGUACGGCCGCAAGGUUAAAACUCAAAUGAAUUGACGGGGGCCCGCACAAGCGGUGGAGCAUGUGGUUUAAUUCGAUGCAACGCGAAGAACCUUACCUGGUCUUGACAUACCUAGAAUCUUGUAGAGAUACGGGAGUGCCUUCGGGAAUUGGAAUACAGGUGCUGCAUGGCUGUCGUCAGCUCGUGUCGUGAGAUGUUGGGUUAAGUCCCGCAACGAGCGCAACCCUUGUCCUUAGUUACCAGCGGGUUAAGCCGGGAACUCUAAGGAUACUGCCAGUGACAAACUGGAGGAAGGCGGGGACGACGUCAAGUCAUCAUGGCCCUUACGACCAGGGCUACACACGUGCUACAAUGGUAGGUACAGAGGGCAGCUACACAGCGAUGUGAUGCGAAUCUUUCAAAGCCUAUCGUAGUCCAGAUUGGAGUCUGCAACUCGACUCCAUGAAGUAGGAAUCGCUAGUAAUCGCGGAUCAGAAUGCCGCGGUGAAUACGUUCCCGGGCCUUGUACACACCGCCCGUCACACCAUGGGAGUUGAUUGCACCAGAAGUGGUUAGCCUAACGUAAGAGGGCG